GAGAGGACAACGUGUUUCACACAGCAGCCCCACAAAUCCAGCGUUCUUUACCAUGACAGAACAAUAAAACCUCUGAGCAGAGAAAGUAACAACAGAGCCGCGGUGCGUUUCGAGAAAAAAAACAACAUUUAAAUCGGAACCCUUUCAGUUUAAUGUCCAUCCACGGUACAUGUACCAACACGUAUCCGCGUCCAAUAUGCAUACAGCAUUAAUGACAGACCAUUGUUCGUGUCCUGGAUAACCAGCGACUGUGAACGGCAAAGUGAUAACGGGCUGCUCGGGAGGGGGGCGUUCACUGUCACAUGUUACAUAAAGGUGACCAGCACGGUGUGAGUUGAGACCCCGGACCUCUGCGCUGCGGAAAGGGAACGAGUUUUAGCCUCAUUUAUUCAGAAGGUAACAGCUCUCUGAUUCGCACAGGCUGCUUCCAGUCUCACCGAGAACAGCACGCAGAGAUGGCGGCUUCCUUGCUGAGGAUGGGACGACUGGGUUGUAUUAAGUGUUUGCAGGCUGACAGGUGGAGUACUCUAAGCAGAGCCCCUGUUGCUGUAGCCCUAAGCACAAAAUCUGGAGGUAACAAGAAGUCGUCUAAAAAGAACACCUCAG